GACAGCAGCAGCCGCGGGAAUACGAAGGGGGCUAGCGUUGUUCGGAAUUACUGGGCGUAAAGGGCGCGUAGGCGGCCAUUCAAGUUAGAUGUGAAAGCCCUGGGCUCAACCUAGGAAUUGCAUUUGAUACUGUUUGGCUUGAGUUCGGGAGAGGUGAGUGGAAUUCCCAGUGUAGAGGUGAAAUUCGUAGAUAUUGGGAAGAACACCAGUGGCGAAGGCGGCUCACUGGACCGACACUGACGCUGAGGCGCGAAAGCGUGGGGAGCAAACAGGAUUAGAUACCCCCGUAGUCCCUGUCUCUUAUAC
rnacentral:rRNA from 1 species